rfam:Helianthus annuus linkage group 11, whole genome shotgun sequence.
GAGCUAUGAUGACAAGCCUUUCAUGAUGGUUGGGUCCAUCAUAUAAACCUUCUUCUGAAGGAAAAUACAGGCCCUUCUGAGCUC